GACGAACGCUGGCGGCGUGCUUAACACAUGCAAGUCGAACGGAAAGGCCCUGCUUUUGUGGGGUGCUCGAGUGGCGAACGGGUGAGUAACACGUGAGUAACCUGCCCUUGACUUUGGGAUAACUUCAGGAAACUGGGGCUAAUACCGGAUAGGAGCUCCUGCUGCAUGGUGGGGGUUGGAAAGUUUCGGCGGUUGGGGAUGGACUCGCGGCUUAUCAGCUUGUUGGUGGGGUAGUGGCUUACCAAGGCUUUGACGGGUAGCCGGCCUGAGAGGGUGACCGGCCACAGUGGGACUGAGGUACGGCCCAGACUCCAACGGGAGGCAGCGGUGGAGGAUAGUGCACGAUGGGCGGAAGCCUGAUGCAGCAACGCCGCGUGCGGGAUGACGGCCUUCGGGUUGUAAACCGCUUGCGCCUGUGACGAAGCGUGAGUGACGGUAAUUGAUAAAGAAGCACCGGCUAACUACGUG
rnacentral:rRNA from 1 species